CGUGAGCAACCUGCCCAUAUCAGGGGGAUAGCCCGGAGAAAUCCGGAUUAACACCGCAUGACACUGCUUUCCGGCAUCGGGAGGUAGUCAAAUAUUCAUAGGAUAUGGAUGGGCUCGCGUGACAUUAGCUAGUUGGUGGGGUAACGGCCCACCAAGGCGACGAUGUCUAGGGGCUCUGAGAGGAGAAUCCCCCACACUGGUACUGAGACACGGACCAGACUCCUACGGGAGGCAGCAGUAAGGAAUAUUGGUCAAUGGGGGCAACCCUGAACCAGCCAUGCCGCGUGCAGGACGACUGCCCUAUGGGUUGUAAACUGCUUUUGUUAGGGAAUAAACCCCGCUACGUGUAGCGGGCUGAAUGUACCUAAAGAAUAAGGAUCGGCUAACUCCGUGCCAGCAGCCGCGGUAAUACGGAGGAUCCGAGCGUUAUCCGGAUUUAUUGGGUUUAAAGGGUGCGUAGGCGGCACUUUAAGUCAGGGGUGAAAGACGGCAGCUCAACUGUCGCAGUGCCCUUGAUACUGAAGUGCUUGAAUGCGGUUGAAGACGGCGGAAUGAGACAAGUAGCGGUGAAAUGCAUAGAUAUGUCUCAGAACACCGAUUGCGAAGGCAGCUGUCUAAGCCGUAUGACGC
rnacentral:rRNA from 1 species